UACAGAGGGGGCAAGCGUUAUUCGGAAUUAUUGGGCGUAAAGGGCGCGUAGGCGGCUACACAAGUGGCGGGUGAAAUCCCUCGGCUUAACCGAGGAACUGCCUGCCAGACUGUGUGGCUUGAGACCGGGAGAGGUGAGUGGAAUUCCCAGUGUAGCGGUGAAAUGCGUAGAUAUUGGGAGGAACACCAGUGGCGAAGGCGGCUCACUGGACCGGAACUGACGCUGAGGCGCGAAGCGUGGAGCAAACAGG
rnacentral:rRNA from 1 species